rnacentral:lncRNA from 1 species
UAGAGAUGGGGUUUCACUAUGUUGAUCAGACUGGUCUUGAACUCCCGACUUCAGGUGACCCGCCCCCUUGGUUUCCAAAAGUGCUGGGACAUGAGUCACCACUCCCGGCUGUUUGUUUUUUUUAGAGACAAGGUCUCACUGUGUUGCUCAGGCUGGACUUGAACUCUGGUGCUCAAGGGGAUCCUUCCACCUCAGCCUUCUGAGCAGCUGAAGAGUACAGGCCUAGCUAACAACACACACACACAUGUAUAUGUAUACUCAAAAUAUAUAUAUAUUGACACAGUCUUGUUCUAUUGCCCAGGCUGAAAUGCAGUGGCCACGUGGAAAAUAACACACCUGGCCAGUUUUUUCCUACUUUUUAUUUUGAACUCAGUUUCUUGCUUAAGCCUCUAGACUCAGGUUUGGGCCCAGGAUGGGCUGGGACCAGGACCUGCAGCAAGCCCAGGCAGCCUGGCCCAGGCCUCUUCUUGUUCUUAGCCUUUUAUCUCCUGGGGCAAUUAGGGAACCGAAGGCCCAGCCUUGGAUAAACAUCUGCCCAAGACUCUUGAGUCUCAUGUACAAUUUCAGAAAACGAGAAAAGAAAGGGAGCGGGGCGCAGUGGCUCAUGCCUGUAAUCCCAGCACUCUGGGGGGCCAAGGCAGGCGGAUCACUUGAGGCCAGGAGUUUGAGACUAGCCUGGCCAACAUGGUAAAACCCCAUCUCUACUAAAACUACAAAAAUUAGCUCGGCAUGGUGGCACAACCCUGUAAUUCCAGCUACUCUGGAGGCUGAGGCAGGACAAUCGCUUGAAUCUGGGAGGCAGAGGCUGCAGUGAGCCGGGGUCAUGCCACUGCACUCCAGCCUGGGCAAGAGAGUGAGACUCUGUCCCAAAAAAGAAAAGAAAAAGAAAGAGAAGUGUGGGGAGGGCAGGGCACAGGCAUUAGAGUUCCCCAGACAGACAGACCCCUGGGGAUGCUUGACUAAGCCCAUCCCAGAGUCACAGUUCAGGGUGGAGAUAUGGAAUGUCAAAACCAGAUAACUGUUUUGUUUGUUUGUUUGAGAUGGAGUCUCGCUCUGUCACCCAAGCUGGAGUGCAGUGGCACCAUCUCGGCUCACUGCAAGCUCUGCCUCCUGGGUUCACGCCAUUCUUCUGCCUCAGCCUCCCAAGUAGCUGGGACUACAGGCACCUGCCACCACACCCGGCUAAUUUUUUGUAUUUUUAGUAGAGAAGGGGUUUCACCGUGUUAGCCAGGAUAGUCUCGAUCUCCUGACUUCAUGAUCCGCCCGCCUCAGCCUCCCACAGUGCUGGGAUUACAGGCGUGAGCCACCGCCCGGCUGUUUUUUUUUGAGAGGGAGUCUCACUGUCACCCAGGCUGGAGUGCAGCAGCGCAAUCUCGGCUCACUGCAACCUCCUCCUUCCGGGCUCCAGUGAUCCUCCCACCUCAGCCUCCCGAGUAGCUGGGAUUGUAGGUGUACACCACCCAUGCCCAGCAGAUUUUUUUUUUUUUUUUUUUUUUGUAUUUUAGUAGAGCCAGGAUUUCACCAUGUUGGCCAGGCUGGUCUCGAACCUCUGACCUCAAGUGAUCUGCCCACCUGGGUCUCCCCAAGUGCUGGGAUUACAGGCGAGAGCCACUGCGCCCAGCCUCAGAUAACUCUUAAAGAUCAUCUGUGCAACCCCUUCAUUUUACACAUGGGGAAACUGAAGCUCAGGGCAUCUUGCUGGCGGUUACCCCUUCCUUCCUGGCAGUUCUGCCCAUGCAGUUUUGGGGUUGAGGGAGGUGGAGAACUUCCUUUCUAGGGGUUCCCAGAGAUUGGCCAGGGAAGUAGGGGACUCUGUGCCGCAGUCGAAGGGAUUUGGGUUCCCACAUCACCUCUCCAGCCCCCUAGGGAACUGUGCAAAGGAGGGGGAAAUAGGAAUGUAGGAAUGGCCUGCUGAGUGGGUGUAUCCAUGAUAACAGUAAUUAGGGAGGUGGGAGGCUUUGAGCGGGCUAAUUAUGCAGGCUGGGUCUCAGACUAGAUAACCCUCCUCCUUAUCUUUAUGCAGGGACCCAAAAGAUAGGAAAACUGCAGUGCUCAGGAGUGCCAUGAGGUAGCCCUAAGGACGCCUGCUGUGCAACAGGACCCUGCGAGGGAAAGGGGAAGGGAUCCACCAAAGAUAAACUGCAGAUUAUUUUAUUUGUUUGUUUUUGUUUUUUGAGGCGGAGUCUUGCUCUGUCACCUAGGCUAGAGUGCAGUGGCAUGAUCUUGGCUCACUGCAACCUCCGCCUCCUGGGUUCAAGUGAUUCUCCUCCCUCAGCUCCCAAGUAGCUGGGAUUACAGGCACCCGCCACCUCACCAGGUUAAUUUUUGUAGUUUUAGUAGAGACAGGGUUUUGCCAUGUUGUCCAGGCUGGUCUUGAACUCCUGACCUCAGGUGAUCCACCUGCCUUGGCCCCCAAAGUGCUGGUAUUACAGGCGUGAGCCACUGCGCCCGGCCUUAAACUGCAGAUUCUAAAGCUGCUGGGACUGGUUCGUCACUAGGCCCAUGGACAAACUGGUCACCGAUCCCCAUGCUGACCGGUAGGCACUUACGGACGCUCACUGACCCUGAGGAGGAUAGGGAGAGGUGCCUCCGCUUGGCAUCCUCCGUGGGCUCAGGCUGGUGGGUCUCAGUCAGGCAUUAUGGAAAUGAUCUGAAGUUCUAGACACAAAGGUCAAAGCAUACAGUACACAAAAGGAGUGUCUGAAAGGAAAGCCAACUGUUAUAAAUAAUGGGGGACUCAGCCAGGCACAGUGGCUCACGCCUGUAAUCCCAGCACUUUGGGAGGCCAAGGCGGCAGACCACCUGAGGUCGGGUGUUCGAGACCAGCCUGACCGACAUAGAGAAACCACCUCUACUAAACCCAUCUCUACUAAAACCCUACUAAACUCUACUAAAACCCUACUAAAACCCAUCUCUACUAAAAAUACAAAAUUUGCCAGGCCUGGUGGCGCAUGCCUGUAAUCCCAGCUACUGGGGAGGCUGAGGCAGGAGAAUUGCUUGAACCUGGGAGGCAGAGGUUGUGGUCAGCCAAGAUUGAGCCAUUGCACUCCAACCUGGGCAACAAGAGCAAAACUCCGUCUCAAAAAAUAAAUAAAUAAAUAAAUAAUGGGGGGCUCAAAGGUGAAACCCCAGGCUGCCAGCAAUGCUGCCCCCCCACAUCCUGUGGAGCCCUCAGGGCCUGGCACCUUCUACACUGAAAUCAUUCACUCAGUCAACAAAUGUGCAUUAAGUGGGGUAUGGUCGUGUGCACCUGUAAUCCCAGCUACUCAGGGAACUGAGACGGGAGGGUCACUUGAGCCCAUAAGUUGGAGGCUUCCGUGAGCCGUGAUCAUGCCACUGCACUCCAGCCUGGGCAACAGAAUGAGACCCUGUCUCUAAAAAUAAAAUUAAAAAUAAAUAAAUGUGCAUUAAACACCUACCAUGCAUUGGGCUCUGGAAAGAUGCUGGGAACACCCAGAUAAAUAAGUUAUGGUUCUUGCCUUCAAGAAGUCCCCAGGUCGGCCAGGCGCGUGCCACUACACCUGGCUUUUUUUAAACAAUAUUUUUUGUAGAGACGGGGGUUUUGAAAUGUUGCCCAGGUUGGUCUCAAACUUCCGAAUCCUGAACUCAAGUCAUCCGCCUGGCUUCGGCCUCCCAAAGUGCUAGGAUUACAGGCGUGAGCCGCUGCACCGCCCGGCCGAGAAGAAUCUUACCAGUUCUCAUCUUCCUUCCUCCCGUUUAAAUGCUCACAUCAAGUCGCUGGCUUUCCUCACCACGUGCUC